rnacentral:rRNA from 1 species
UACGGAGGGCGCAAGCGUUGUUCGGAAUUACUGGGCGUAAAGCGCGUGUAGGCGGCCUGACAAGUCGAAUGUGAAAUCCCGGAGCUCAACUCCGGAACUGCAUACGAUACUGCCAGGCUCGAGUCUCGGAGAGGGUGGCGGAAUUUCCGGUGUAGAGGUGAAAUUCGUAGAUAUCGGAAGGAACACCAGUGGCGAAGGCGGCCACCUGGACGAUGACUGACGCUGAGACGCGAAAGCGUGGGGAGCAAACAGG